UACAGAGGUCUCAAGCGUUGUUCGGAUUCAUUGGGCGUAAAGGGUGCGUAGGUGGCGCUGUAAGUCGGGUGUGAAAUCCUGGGGCUUAACCCCGGAACUGCAUUCGAUACUGCAGUGCUUGAGGACUGGAGAGGAGACUGGAAUUCAUGGUGUAGCAGUGAAAUGCGUAGAGAUCAUGAGGAAGACCAGUGGCGAAGGCGGGUCUCUGGACAGUUCCUGACGCUGAGGCACGAAGGCCAGGGGAGCAAACGGG
rnacentral:rRNA from 1 species